GCCUGAUGGGCUGCCGUAUGCCGUAUGUGCACAGAGUUGGACACGACUGAAGCGACUUAGUAGUAGUAUGGCUGUAUCUUUGUUUAGAAUACUGGGGUGAAAGGACUUGUAGAGAUUUUUCUCCCCCAUUAUUUGAAAAGGAAGUCCGGAGAAAGUUGUAUGAAAUCAUGAUCCUACCAGCAACAAGGGCUGGGAUUUCAUGGAAGAAUUCCUAUCCUUUGGUGGUAGAUUGAAGAAGGAACCCAGCUUCAUUGAAUACAGUGCUUUCCAAAGUAAGCCAGUCAUCAACAUCACCUGGGGUGCUUCUUUAAAUUACAGAGUUUUGGACCCACCCUUGGAAAUUCUGAUUUACUAGGUCUAGUGCUGAGCCUAGGAAUCCAUGUUUUUAACAAGCUCCCUGGUGAUUCUAAUGAUUAACUGGGUUUAGGAAAUAAGAUCUCACAACAGAAGGGCCUGGGGGAGGGAGCAGGUGGGUGGAUGAUGGGGGCUGCCCCAGGUGCUUCCCAGUAGGGGAGGUAGAGAUGGUGAGAACCGAAAAAGGGCGGUUUUGAAAGCAGGACUGACCACUCUGGGGACUUUUUAAACACACAGAACAAAGGCACAGGCUCUCAGGGAGGACGAAGAUGUGGAGCAUCAGACACUUGGGCGGCUCCCUUUCUGUCUCUGGUUCUAGGCGUUCGUGUAAACUGAAGGAGUUGGACUCAUCGGAGGCUUUUCCAACUGAGGGAGCCCAAAGCCACAGUGGUGGAGGGGUGGCUGAGUGGGUGGAAGUCCAGGCUUUGCCCCAGCCCACCCUCCCCAGGGCCCCUGACUCUGCUUUAUAUUGAGGUCUCUUUUAAGAUUUUCUUUGGAAAAACGUUUUCGGCUGCCAAGAAGUUUGACAAUCUCCAGACUAGAUGACCUUUCAGUUCUAAAAAGUCAUAUAAGUUUGUGAACAAAAGCCAGGGGGAGGAGGAACAGCCCAGAAGAUGGGGUUGAGUGAAACAGAAGAACAAUCCAGAAUGGGCAUUUCAAUCCUCAUUUUAACCUUAGGACUGACUCUUUGGGUUGUGGCAGGAGCUCCCAAUUUCCAUCUCAGGAUCAGCGUACUGCCUGAGUCAACUCAGAGUGACCUCCAAGGAAAAUUCUGGUGGCCUUCCCAUCAGAUUCUUAUAUUAAAUUUGCGGGGGGACGUCCCUCCCUUCACAGGACCCGGAAGCCCAGAGAAAUUACGAAGGUUCCUCUGCUAAUAUGUUGGUCAUGUCUUGCUGUUUGCAAGUGUUUCAACAAUAGGGGGUUCUCGGGAGGGAUGGAAGAUGAAUCUCAGGCUGCCAUCUUGACUUGGAAGCCAGCACCUCCAAUACAGCAGGAAAAGGGAGGAAAGAAGAAAGAAAUGGAGAAAUGCCUCACUCAUGCUGGUGAUAACACUGGGGUUUCCUCCAACACACUCCCACUUUGGCUAGAAUUCCAUGCUCCCUGCUCUCUCCUCAACUCAAGGAAGCCUCCACACACACCCUCCAGGGCGACUCUAACACCUGGUGACAAACUGAAGCUCUCAGUCCAGGGCCCCACGAGGAGUGGGAUCCCGCAGAAAACCAUGGAGUGAGCUUGGAAACGAGUCUCGUCCCAGUCAAGCCUUUAGAUGACUGCAGCCCACCUCAACACCUUGAUUGUAGCUUGUGAGACCUUGUGAGCCAGAGGACUCAGCUAAGCUGUGCCCAGAUUCCAGAGUCACAGACAUAAUGUGACAUAGCUUGUGCUUUUAUUUUAAUCCAUUAAAGUUCAGAGUAAUGUGUUAUGCUGCAAUAGGUAAGUAACACAUUAUUGACCA